rnacentral:tRNA from 1 species
UGUAGCCUAGUGGUAGAGUGCUUGCAUGGCAAGCAUGAGGCCCUGGGUUCAAGCCCCAGUA